GACGAACGCUGGCGGCGUGCCUAACACAUGCAAGUCAAGGGGAAACGGGUAGCAAUAUCCGGAGUACACUGGCGCACGGGUGAGUAACGCGUAGGUAACCUGCCCAUAGGACGGGGAUAAUUCAGCGAAAGCUGGACUAAUACCCGAUGUUGAGACGUCAUCGCAUGGUGAUGUCUUGAAAAGCCCGCAAGGGUGCCGAUGGAUGGGCCUGCGUCCCAUUAGGUAGUUGGUAGGGUAACGGCCUACCAAGCCUGCGAUGGGUAGCUGGUGUGAGAGCACGACCAGUCACACGGGCACUGAGACACGGGCCCGACUCCUACGGGAGGCAGCAGUAAGGAAUAUUGGCCAAUGGACGAAAGUCUGAACCAGCCAUGCCGCGUGAAGGAUGAAGGCCCUCUGGGUUGUAAACUUCUUUUAUAGGGGACAAAAAAGGGAAUUACUUUCCCACUUGACGGUACCCUAGGAAUAAGCACCGGCUAACUCCGUGCCAGCAGCCGCGGUAAUUCUCG
rnacentral:rRNA from 1 species